rnacentral:lncRNA from 1 species
GGUUGCUUUAGUAGAAAAUGGCACUGACACAGCUUUUGGGAGGUAUUCAUUAAACUUGUUCACAGCUCAAAGCAUGUUGCUUUAGAUGCUCUUGGUUUACCUUUCAUGCAAUUUCUGCAUGGAAAGAGGAAAGGUUUCUUUACUUAGCACUUAAAAGUUAACUCCCGAUUUGAUAAAAGGCUGAAUGUUCUGGAAAUCACUGUUGUUGCAUCAGUUAAAUGUGGAACCACUUGGAAUUUUAAGAUUUUCCAUUUUACUGCAGGUGAUGGCAAUAUCACACCCUUAUUUCAGUCUACUUACAGGUAUUUAAAAACUGCUUUUUCUUUCCUGUUAUCCUUGAAUCGUAACAACAAUACAUUAACUUCCUUUUGUGAAACGCAGCACGAGCAAAUUGAAAGCCUGCCAAUUAACAAAACCCACACUCGUUUUCACUUCUGUCAGUUUGAGAAGAGAACAUGAAAUGCUACUUAUAUUUAGAUUCCCCUGUAUUCACAGCAUGAAUCAGAGGAUCAGUCCAAAUUCACAAGCUAAUUAAUGCAUUUGUUCCCUAUCAAAUUCAACUCUCAGAAGGCCUCUUAUUCCAGCCAAAAAUAAAUGCUGACGACAGUUUUGGUUUUCAAGCGUCUCUGCAAGUCAGGAGCAGGAACCUGCUCUUCAGUUUCUUUUAUGUAAACAGUGUUGCUUUUAGCUGGACAUACAACAGUCUGUGCUUUGCUAGCUGGUAUGUCUGCAAUCACGAACUGAGGUAUUGAAAAGGGAGGGGGGCACUGCUGCUAAAGCCAAAGUGCAAGAUGGACAGUUCUAGAUGGAAAUCUGCUUCGAGGCUCUCCAUCUGAUCUUGUUCACCUGUACGCAUUUAACUCAGAGAAACAGUUCCUGCAGGCAGGAAGGGAAAUAGAAUGCCUAAGGCAGUGAGCGAUUAAAACUGUAGUUCGACAUGCGUGGUGCCCCUUUUUACAGGCUGGCUGCUGCUCGGCAGAUGGAAAUUUUCCAGGCUGCCAGAAGAAAAGGGGGGGGAAAAAAAAGGAAGCCCGGAAGAAAACGAAGGCAUGCCUGCUGCCCCGGGGGAUCCGACGUAUGUGAAAAGGAAUGUACAACUCCAAGUGCACUUGCCUCGCGUGCCUUCCCAACCCCACAGAUGCAGGCAGGACCGAAGGCUGUUAAUCCUAAAUCACAGUGUGAACAGCGAAUGAGACGCUGGAGUGCAUCUUGUCCAAUGUGCUGCUUUACGUCUGGGCUGAAAAUGCAGAGCCGGAGUGGAGGAUCCUUUCCACAUGCUGCAGCAUCCAUAAGCAGGCUCUGGGCAGGUGGGAAGGAGACCCAGCUGUUCCACAAGACAUCUCUGAAGGGGCUGAUAACCAAUAUUCCUGGCACACUGGAGACAUGGAUCCCUGGUCUUAAUUUCAGGGAAGCCAAGACCAGAAGACCAGCAAUGAGGGUCAGCAUUAAUACCCUGUGCAAGGUGAGUUGAAUUGCUUGCUGUUUCUGCAAGAUUUAUACCUCCUCUUCUCCAUAGGCACCUCAUCCCUUUUUCCUUUACUUCAGCACUGAGGCCUCUUCUUACCACAAGUCACAAUGUACCUAUUUCUGAAUUCAGCAUAUUACUGCAUGAACCUUUGGAAAAGCAGCACUUUUAGAUUUCUUUUAACUAACACAUUUUAAAUGGCAUGUUAUUAAAUGUUGCUUAUCACUUGUUGACCACAUAGGAACGCUUGACCUUUGCCCAAACUACAUUAAAAUAUUUGACAAAGCCAUGCAAAAUAUUUUCCUUAUUUCUUACUGAAAUUUCAGAAACAUC